AUUGAACGCUGGCGGCAGGCCUAACACAUGCAAGUCGAACGAGUGGCGGACGGGUGAGUAAUGUCUGGGAAACUGCCUGCUGGAGGGGGAUAACUACUGGAAACGGUAGCUAAUACCGCAUACCAUCAGAUGUGCCCAGCGGGGAUUAGCUAGUUGGUGGGGUAACGGCGCACCAAGGCGACGAUCCCUAGCUGGUCGGCGAGGAUGAACAGGCGCACUGGAACGGGGGCACGGGCCAGACUCCUACGAGCGUCAGCAGUGGGGAAUAGUGCACAUUGGGCGCAAGCCUGGAACGGCCGUGCCGCGUGUAUGGAGAGGGCCUUCGGGUUGUAAAGUACGUUAAGCGGGGAGGCGUUACCCGCAGAAGAAGCGCCGGCUAACUCCGUGCCAGCAGCCGCGGUAAUUC
rnacentral:rRNA from 1 species